AGUGUCGCUCUCUUUUCUUUUCCCCUGGGCUCUUGCUCCAGCAGCAUGAUGUGAUUCACCAGCAAGGAGCGACACCAAUAAGGUGUCUGAUAAGAUAAGUCCCAUAAAAUAUAUAGAUAUAUGGUAAUUGAGGCUGAGCUAACAAAAGAGAAUCCUAGUCAUUGGCCAAGCAGCUUUGUAACUAAUACAAGUCUCUCUAUGUAUUCAUUUGGGCCUAACUCGGGUGGGCGGCUGGCGUAAAGCUCACACGUGGCGGUGGUGCUCAGGCGGCUUUUGGCAAAAAGAUUUAUCAUAACAAACUAUUAAAUGAUUUCUAUCCUUGGCAGUUUUCAUAACACCUUCUAGCAUUGUGGAAGCUAGGUUCCAAAGAGGAGACUUUAGCAUAGUAUUAAGCUAUAAUUCUCCAAAUUCAAUGUGCAAGUUGCGUGGAAAAUCAUGACUUGCCUUCAGCUUCUAGGAGGCAUCCAAGAGCAACAUCAAUUGAUUAUAUUGCUUUGUGACUCUUUUGAACUCCCCUGACCAACAACCAAAAGGGUAUUAAAUGUUAUAGUCUCUCAUUUAAAUUUUAGAUAAUUGUUUCAAGGAAAAGAAAACCUCAGGGUAUUUGAAGCAUUGGCUCACUUCCAUGAUUACCAGGCUGGUUUUGAUCUUUUUAGUGUGCAAAUAGAGUUGGACUCUAAGAUGAUAUGACCAAAGUGUUUUGAAAAGAAUGGUACAGAAAUGAGACAGACAGUGGUGGCAUACUCCACUAAAUCCAGCACUCAAUAGGCAGAUGCAGAUGCAGCUGUAUGAGUUUGAAGUUAGCUUGGUCUACAGAUUCAGCUCCAGAACACCCAAUGCUACAAAGAAGCCUUUUUUAAAAAAAAAAAAAAAAAAAAAAAAAAAACAGAAUACAGAAUAUUACAAAAAUGAUUGUCCCAUUAUAACCCAGGUUACAAAGUCAUGAAAUGCUUCAAAUAUCUGCAUGUCAUUCUUAACCCAGGCAUGAGAUAAUCUCUUUUACCUUCCAAUUUUGUGUAUUUGUGGUUUAAUCAAGCAUAAAGAAUUAUAUCUCAAAAAUUCUUUAACUUCCAAUCCAUGAACACAAAGUAAUGUAUAAGUAAUUAGAUUUCCUCUGAUUUCUUUCAGCAGUUCCUUUAGGAUACUCCAAAUUUAAAUCCUGUAUUUGUUGUUGUUGCUGCCAUUUAAUAGCUGUCUAGCCUUUCAGAGAACUACAUCAAUUUUCUAAUAUUUAUCUUUUGAAAAAGGUUCACACACAGACACACACACACACACACAAACACACACAUACCACAUGGAUGCCUGGUGCCUAUAGAAACUGGGAGUGGCCCUCUUAGAUCCCUAGAAUUGGAGUUACAGAUGUCUUUGAGCCACCGUGUAGAUUCUGGUAAUUAAACUUUUGUCCUCUUCAAGAUCAGAAAGUUCUUUUAACCUUUUAUCCAUCUCUCUUUCAUCUUUACUAUUUAUUAAUACUUGCUUUUUAGAAAUAGGAAUCUUUUUAAUAUGUCAUGUUGAGCCAUAUACACAAAAAAAACAGGUAUGAAAUGAACAAAAAGUAUUGGAGGAAAACAAAAGUAGCAAAACAAGGCUCUCUAAACUCUUACGCAGUGACUUGGUAUGAUCUUCCAAUCAUCAGUCAUCCUCAUAGGUAAAUAAGGCUGUGGUAUCGUCUCUAAGAAAAUGGAAGAGGAGCAAUAGGACACAAAUUAAGAUAUGUGAUCUGCUUGACAGCCAAAUUUGUCUUAACUGCUUUUUAAAAAGAUUAUAACAUACAAUCUUCAGAAAUGAGCAUUGAGAAAGAUUUGAGUUAAUUUGGGGCAAGUAAUAAUUGUAUUUUAUAACUGGCCAUGCCCAUUAAAUAUUGGUCUUCAACCUCACUGUCAGAUUCAAUUUGAAUCAGGAUUGACCUAUGAAUGGUCUGUGAGACUAAGCUAUUUAAUGCUUCUCAGUGCUUUCUUAAAACUAAAUAAGAUUCUGGCAGAAGUCAAGGUAAGAUCACCCUUAGCCAUCUGCAACGGGAUGGAAAGACAGAACCACAGUAGAUGCAGAUAAAAUAUCUGACAAAUUCCAAUGUGUUUCAGCAUUUGAAAAUUCUUGAUAAAGCAAGUGUAAAGGGUAGUUUCUUCCAUGUGUUCAAGAGCAUCUAUAACUAUCACACAGCAUCAUUAUCAAUGGGAGAGACAGGAAGUGUCUAAGAUUCAGGAUAAGGAAGGGAAAACUCUUAUCCACAUUUAGGUACUAUAAAAUACUCAGAAAAAUCCACAGUUUAAUGCAUACUGCUAUUCCUAUAUGAACACAAAUGAUGUCUAAUUCCUACACAAUAUAUUGUUUCUUUUUCAAGAAUGGAGUGAAUUUCCAAAAGGAAGACACACAUGGGGAAACAAUACUGAAAAGCCAAAUAUAGACAAAAGGAAUUGUACAACUUUACCAGCCUAGCUCAACACCCAAAGUAGCUGUGAUAAACUCUCAGUGGCACGUCCAUGCCCCAGCUGUCUGUGAAGAAGGAAGUACAAUCAUCCAGGAUCUCUGAUUUUGUGCAGCAUCCUUGCUGUUUGGUCCAUCUCUGGAUGGGAAAGUAUGACUUCAACACCACAGGUGCAGAUGAAUUAAAUAGCACAAUGCUGGAAAGCCUGGCCAAUUAUCAGAAAGCUGAAGAAACAUGUGGAAACAAUGGAAAAUGCAACUGUAUAUUUUAAUAUAUCUUGAAAAAAUACACUUCCCUGGGCAAAGACCAAAAUGAUCUCUGGAAGCUACUGAAAUAGCCAAAUGCCUUUUGGUUGCUGUUGAAGAUAAUCGCACCAUGAUUGGGCAAGGAGUGUCCUGCACAUCUCAAUGAAUUCAAAGAAAUUUGAUAUAAAUGUAAAAUUGGGAAGAGAAAAGAAAUUAACAGAAAACUGUAGGAAGUACAGAAUGUUACAAUAAAUCUUUCCGCCAAAAGCCGCAGAGCCCUACCGCCACGUGGGCGGUCUCCGCCAGCCACCCGAGUUCUGCCCGCUGCGUGGAUGGCCAAACAGUAUUUUAUUUAUCAUCCAGUAAGACAAACACAGAGAAGCACUUCUCCCAUCAACAAGAGACCAUUUCUUCCGCAGCAGUCAGCAUUCCAUCAUUACAAUAUCCAAGAUCGCCAUAGAGAAAAGGGUUUGUUUGGGUUCAUAGUAAUGGAGGUUCCAGUUCACAAUGAAUGACCCUGUCACUUUUGGGUUUAUGGUAAGAUAGUACACCAUGAUAUGUAAGCAUGUAUUGUAUAUGUAUACAUAAUAGAGCAAACUUUUCAAUGAAUGGCCAGGAGGUUAAAUAGAAGAAGAGAAGGAGCCUGAAGUCCCACAAUUUCCCUGAAGGCAUUGUAACUAUUGACCUAAAGACCUCUCAUGAAGUCCUACCUCUUAAAAGUUCCACCAUGUCUCAAUAAUAUUAUCACAUAGGCCCUGAGGGUUAUCAGAUCCUGGACUUUACUAUAUAGGAAAGUGUUUGGUAAACACAAUUGUCUGUGUAUAUGUGUAUGUUUAUCUGUGUAUCCAGUUCUAAUUGCUGGAGAAAGUUCUACAAAAAUAACAAUCUUUUCCCUGUUUUUCUACUCAACACUUCUACUUAAUGAUAGGCCUCAAAUGGAGAAAAAGAUAAAUGAAUAACUUCUUUUAUUCUAGAAAGAGAAUAAAAGGCAAGCAAGAAUGAGAAUAUCCAUCCACCUUGUCUUAGUUAGGGUUAUUAUUGCUGUGAUGAAACACCAUGAACAAAGCAACUUGGGGAAUAAAGGGGUCAUUUGGUUUAUGCUUCCACACCAAUGUCCAUCAUUGAAGGAAGUCAUGACAAAAACUCAGGGCAAGAACCUGAAGGAAGGAUGCAGAGGCCAUGGAGGAGUGCAGCUUAGUGGCUUGCUUCCCAUGGAUUGCUAAGCCUGCUUUCUUAAAGAAAUUAGGACCACCAACCAAUGGAUGGCACCAGCCACAAUGGAUUAGACCCUCCCACAUCAAUCACUAGGUGAAAAAAUGCCCUACAACUGGAUGUUAUGGAUGCAUUUUCUCAAUUAAGGUUCCCUUCUCUCUGAUGAUUCUAUUUUGUGCCAAUGUGAUGUAAAACUAGCCAGUACACAUUUCAAAUACGGCUUUCCAAUGAUACAAAAGCAAACAAGAAGUGACUUUAUCAUGCACAUAUGGAGAUUGUUGGAAGAGUGUACGUCUUUGACUAUUUCACUGGUUGUCCUUUACAAAUCACAAUCUCGAUAUAUGUUUACCUUUGGAGAAGACAGGAAAUGAUUUGCCAAGCCAAAUAGUACAUAGUAUCUGACAGAGAUUAGUGCAUCCCAAACUCUAAAUUUUCCUUAGAUACAUUAAGAUUAUGAUUUAGUGUCUGUGAAAGUGAGGGACUGAUAUCCUGGCAAGUUCCAUGAUUGAUUUUUUUUCAAGUCCAUCCUUGCCAGCUCCAUUUGACAUGCACAAACACAAUUGAUACACUCAUGCCACAGGUAAUCACUCCUUAAAGAGCUCCGUCCACCCCCAUGCGACACAUAUCAAUUCAUCAUGUCAUCUCCCCGCAUGCCAGACUAGUGUGUUUACUCGUUCAGUGGCAUCAUUUGAAUAGACAAGGUUAAUAGCAACUUAAUUUCACUUUAAUGAUACUUUAAAUGAAAUACCUUGAUGAACAUGAAGCCUUGGAUAGUCUGCUGAGUAAAUUCAAUCACAAAUUGUCAUUGUGACAAAGCUGUGUUUUUGACAGAUGGUUUUAUUUGGUCUUCUCCAUUUCAUGCAGAGCAUUAACACCUCUCUGCCUGAGGCAUUUUGAUGCCGUCAGCAUUUGCCACCAAACAACAUUCUGUUUUUAUGGAAGCUUGUUGCAAAAAUUACCAAUUUCAUUGUUCAAGACUUCAUUUUAAUUUUAAAAUAUAUUUUAUAUUAAAAUGCAAUUGCAAAAUUUCCUCCUUUUGUUUCCCCACUCUUACUGCUUGCAUAUACCUCCUUCGUUUUUUGCUCUUAAAUGAAUGGCAUCUUUCUCUUUGUUAUUUUUAUAUAUGUGUAUAAGUGCAUAAAUACUUCAAUAUAGUCAUCCGAGUCAAUUUAGUGUUGCUUGUGUGUACACGAUUUCAGAGCUUACUAUGUAUUUAUUCUGAUUGUAUAUGUAACUCUCUCUGGGAAAUGACUAGUUCUCCCAAUCUCAGCAUUUCUUAGUUGUCUGUCAUUCUUUGGGUAACUUUGGGACCCCAUGAAAUUUCCUCCUUCCAUUUUAAUAUGUCUAUUGGUGAUGUUAUUCUUCAGGUCUUGUUUAGGAAGCAAUAUUGGUGAGCAAUAUUGGAAGCUAUCAUAGGUAUAGCUUCCCUGUUGUUUCCAGGAGAUGCAAUCUCACAGCAGACUUCCUGGACCCCUGGCUUUUAUAAACUUUCUGUUUUCUUCUGCAAUGUUCCCUGAGCCAUAUGUGCAAGAGUUAUGUUGUUGACACACCCAUUUGAUCUGUGCACCCCACAAUCAAUUGUUCUCUGCGUUUUGACUAUUUAUAAUUUUUUGUAAUAGUCUCUAUCAUUCCAAAUAAAAUUUUAAUCUAG